rnacentral:rRNA from 2 species
CUUGACCCUAUAAGAGGUCCAGCCUGCCCAGUGACCUAGUUCAACGGCCGCGGUACCCUAACCGUGCGAAGGUAGCGUAAUCACUUGUCUUCUAAAUAGAGACUAGUAUGAAAGACAUCACGAGAACUUGACUGUCUCCCCUUUCCAAUCAGUGAACCUAAUCUCCCCGUGAAGAAGCGGGAAUUUAUAAAUAAGACGAGAAGACCCUAUGGAGCUUUAAACACUAAUCACCUGCCCCAUCAUUUAAUACUCAGGCUCCUAAACCAACACACUAUGAUUAUGUGUUUUCGGUUGGGGUGACCGCGGAAAACAACACAACCUCCGCAAUGAGACCUUUUAAACUAUAAGCCACAACUUUAAGUAUCAACAAACUGACAUCCAUUGACCCAAUAUAUUGAUUAAUGAAC